rnacentral:pre_miRNA from 1 species
AGGAGGAACAACCCCAGUGGCAGGGCCAGCUCUGGAAACCGGGAUUCAACUCCCACAGUAACUCUGGAGCUCUCCGUCUGCAGGGCCUGGAGGCUCCGGGGCGGG